ensembl:snoRNA
GACCAAUAAUGAAAGAUAGCCAGAUAUGAAUAUCAGUAGACCUUCUGGUCUUUGUGGUACAUGAUCUGUCUGUGUUUCUGAGA